rnacentral:rRNA from 1 species
GUACCGUCAGUGCAAUCUGGUAUUAAUCACUUGCACUUUCCUCCCACUCGACAGAGCUUUACGAUCCGAAAACCUUCAUCACUCACGCGGCGUUGCUGCGUCAGGGUUUCCCCCAUUGCGCAAAAAUUCCUCA